AGUGCGGAAGGUGGGUUUGUGUCCCGGGAGCUUGCAAGUUCAGCGUUUGCGGAGCAGGAGGUAAGCGCGGAGGCUUGACGCGGCUCCACCUUGCGGGAUAUCACCAGCGGCUCUGUCUGGCCUGACUCGCGGGAAGCUCCGCUUCCUUCGGUAGGAGACGGGUAAAGGCCCCGUUACAGCCCUGCAUGUGUUCGCUAACCGAGGCGGCGUGGAAUGCGGAGAGAACCUAGGCCCGAAACCGGUCCAUCAUUAUUAAUACUUCCAUGGAGAAACCACGUUUUCAUUUAAAUUUAACUUGGCGUCUCAGCUGGUGUCCACGCGUGUUUACCGACUCGUCUGUGGACCUCAGAAGCCGCGGUCCCUGAGCCGAGGGCGGAGGAGCGCUGCCCACCCCGCCAGAUGGAAAAGGGACCACACCAUCGCUCAGCAGCAUCACUCCUGUUAUGUGCGAACGGCGCCACCUGGCGCUCAGUGUUGGUGGAGACCCUGGUGUUAGGCGACAUGGCGACGAUUCACUCUCCCAAACUCUGAGGGCAUUUCUUGGGUUCGAGGUUUCUACAGGUACCCUCCACAGCCAGGGUCGCACUACCCGCUCACCGUUCCAUCAUCCCACACGGCUGCGCAGCCGGCAGAUGAGAAGCCACUUCUUCCAAGGACAGACUCUCUGUUACAUGUAAGGAAUUGGUUGAAUAAAGGUCU
rnacentral:lncRNA from 1 species